GCUGGUGUAAAGGCUAAGUGCUUGGCUGCUAACCAAAACGUUGGUGGUUCAAACCACCCAGCGGCU
rnacentral:tRNA from 1 species